UACAGAGGGUGCGAGCGUUAAUCGGAAUUACUGGGCGUAAAGCGUGCGUAGACGGUUAUUUAAGUCGGAUGUGAAAGCCCCGGGCUCAACCUGGGAAUUGCAUUCGAGACUGAAUAGCUAGGGUGCGGUAGAGGGAAGCGGAAUUUCCGGUGUAGCGGUGAAAUGCGUAGAUAUCGGAAGGAACAUCAGUGGCGAAAGCGGCUUCCUGGACCAGUACCGACGUUCAGGCACGAAAGCGUGGGGAGCAAAAGGG
rnacentral:rRNA from 1 species